GAGUUUGAUCGUGGCUCAGAUUGAACGCUGGCGGCAUGCCUUACACAUGCAAGUCGAACGGUAACAGGUCUUCGGAUGCUGACGAGUGGCGAACGGGUGAGUAAUACAUCGGAACGUGCCCAGACGUGGGGGAUAACGAGGCGAAAGCUUUGCUAAUACCGCAUACGAUCUAAGGAUGAAAGCAGGGACCGCAAGGCCUUGCGCGUUUGGAGCGGCCGAUGGCAGAUUAGGUAGUUGGUGGGA
rnacentral:rRNA from 1 species